rnacentral:rRNA from 1 species
CUGGACGACCCUUCGGGGAGCUUGUACAGGUGCUGCAUGGCUGUCGUCAGCUCGUGUCGUGAGAUGUUCGGUUAAGUCCGCUAACGAGCGCAACCCUCGCUGUGUGUUACAAGUGUCACACGGAACUGCCGGUCAUAAACCGGAGGAGUGGGAUGACGUCAAGUCAGCAUGGCCUUUAUAUCCCUGGGCUACACACACGCUACAAUGGGAAGGGACAAUAGGUUGCGAAGCCGCGAGGCGGAGCCAAUCCAGCAAAACUUCCCUCAGUUCAGAUUGCAGGCUGCAACCCGCCUGCAUGAAGUUGGAGUUGCUAGUAAACGCAGGUCAGCCAUACUGCGUUGAAUACGUUCCCGGGGCUU